rnacentral:lncRNA from 1 species
UUUUGGCAUUAAGCCAUUAGAAAAAGAUGACUGUUACUUAAAAAGAAAAAUGAAGACCAGGCACUACCUGAGAUCUGACAGCUUCUUGGUUUGAGUCUGAACUGUGCUCUUAGUGCAACUUAGGCCCUGCAUUUCCUCCUCACAGAAGCAUGAUCAGCCUUCAGAAUAAUUCUGGAAGAACGGUGCAGUCCUGGAAUCCCAAAAGGAAACCUCUUCUAAGAUACCCAAAGAGGAAGUUGGUUGCAUUGCUCAAUAAGAAGCCCCUUGAAAAUGACAAGCAGAAGGGAGUGACCACAUGAAUAUUUCCUGUGCUGAGGUAUCCCAGCUUUUGCAGGGGUGUUGUAAGGUAACUUGUGUAACUUGUGGCUAGUCUGGAUGGCACCUCAUCCUGGAGAUGGCAUUUGAUAAUGACCAAACCUGACUAAGCCAACAUAAUGCCAAGCUGCUUCCAAUGCUGAAAGCCCUUCCCCACCUGCUUGCCUUUCUGGGUUUCUGACACAUCCCUUGCGCUGUCUCUGGUGCUCUUUGGAGCCACAGGCAGUCAGAUCAGAGGGUCCAGACAGCAGAAAACUGGGACUGCAAAAAAAGCAUUGAGUUAUAGAUCAGUUUAGCUUUCUGCUCUGGAUUAUUUACGGUUUGAUGUACAUCCCAGCAAAGAGCUUGCAGAAAGCCAGGCUGACAGAUAGGAGAGGGAGUGGGACUUCUUUCAGCUACUAAGUCUGGUGUACCUGAAUCAUAAACCUGCAGAAGGAGUCUCCUCAGUACACUGACUUUGGUAGUGAAGCUCUUUCAAACAGUGCCUGCCAU